ACAGGCAGGGAGAGGCCGUGGCAGGCGGCAGGCGGCAGGCGCGAGGCAGCGCCCGAGAGCCUCCCUGUGAGAAACCUCUGCAGAGCCCGCGCUCAGCUCUCAUCUGAACAUGCCCGACGGCCAUUCUUUCUGUCUCCAAUCAGAAGCUUAACUCACCUGGAGCCUCUCUAUCAGUGUGUUUUUAAAAGGCUGUGUAUUUCCUAGUAAGAUCCCUGUUAGCUACAUUCUACACAUUCUAUUAUGUAGGAUUCCUAUUCUUCCUUUAGGAUUGUGUCUUGACCCGUGAGCCAGUGGAAGUGUGUUAAAUUCGCAAACACCCAGAAGGGAAGUCACACGAGGAGGUGCAGGUGAGGAGGCCACAGCGAGGCGGCGAGGUUCACCUGUCUGCACCCCCCUGGCACCUCACACAGAGCAGAGGCCACAGCAGCCUACAUCCUAGACUCUGCUGCCUACACAGAGGGAGGGAAGGUACAGCGGGGCAGGAUGUGCACAAAAAUCCUCAACAAAAUAUCAGCAAAAUUCAGCAGCACAUUAAACAGAUUACACACCGUGACAGUGUGGGUUUUAUUCCUGGAUGCCAGGAUGAUUCAAUAUGUAAAUCAAUCAAUCAUGAUGGUCAGUGUCUACUGCCCAAAGGACGAAAACCAUAUAAUCAUCUCAGCUGAUGACCAAGCUCAACAAUUCUCAAAAAUAAAAACACUGAAUACACUAGGAACAGAAGGAAACCUGCUCAACACGACAAAGGGCCCCAGGACAAGCCCACAGCAAACACAUGCUAACUGGCGACAGGCUGCAGGCUUCUCCUCUACAGUCAGGACAGGGCCUGCAGCCUGCUUCCGCCACUUCUGCUCAGCACCGUACGAAGUCCUAGCGGAGCAACGAGGGAAGAGAGAGAUAGAAAAAGUGUCCAAGUUGGAAAGGAAGAAGCUGAAUUAUCUCUUUUCACAGAUGACAUGAUCUAAUAUGAAGAAAACUCUACACAUUUCACAGAAACUGUUAGACCUAAUAAACAAGUUCCAAAUACAAAACACACAAAAACCAGCUGCAUUUCUAUACACUAAC